UACAGAGGGUGCAAGCGUUAAUCGGAAUUACUGGGCGUAAAGCGUGCGUAGACGGUUAUGUAAGUUAGGUGUGAAAGCCCCGGGCUCAACCUGGGAAUUGCAUUUAAGACUGCAUAGCUAGGGUGCGGAAGAGGGAAGCGGAAGUUUCCGGUGUAGCGGUGAAAUGCGUAGAUAUCGGAAGGAACACCAGUGGCGAAAGCGGCUUCCUGGUCCAGCACCGACGUCAGGCACGAAAGCGUGGGGAGCAAACAGG
rnacentral:rRNA from 1 species